rnacentral:rRNA from 1 species
UACGGGGGGAGCAAGCGUUGUUCGGAUUUACUGGGCGUAAAGGGCGCGUAGGCGGCGUGACAAGUCACUUGUGAAAUCUCCGGGCUUAACCCUGAGCGGCCAAGUGAUACUGUCGUGCUAGAGUGCGGAAGGGGCUACUGGAAUUCUCGGUGUAGCGGUGAAAUGCGUAGAUAUCGAGAGGAACACCUGCGGCGAAGGCGGGUAGCUGGGCCGACACUGACGCUGAGGCGCGAAAGCCAGGGGAGCGAACGGG